rnacentral:misc_RNA from 1 species
AUAUAUAUAUCAAACUUCUCUUGUUGAGUGGUUUGGAUGUGGGGGUUUGCUGGCCUCUUAAAGGGUUCAGCUCCUCUGAAAUGCAUUAGCAGAACAACCUGUUCAUUGGCGUGAUAACUAUCUACGCUAUUGAAUGUGAGGGGCAGUUCAGCUUUCUAACAGUCCUUGGACAAUUCAUCAUUA